AGUGCAACCAACUUCCUUUUUUUUUUAAACUUCUCUGAAUCUCAGCUCUUCUGUAAUUCCCAAGGCUCAGGCUCCACCGAAUAGAAGAGAGAGAGUUUUGCCUUUGAUUCCAGAAUGAUGUUUCACAGAAAGUCAACUCUCGUUCCAGAAUGCAAUGAUGAGAUUUAAAGGAAGAAGAACACGCUAAAAGGCUUUCCAAAAGGGUCCGAGGCCUGGAUAGUGACGCUUGCAUUCAAGGAUGCUGCGUGGCUUUACAGAAAUGAAUCAGAGACUCAGGCCUGCCACUUCCUUAGAAACAGAAACAUGCAUAAAAUUGUUAGAGUAAACGAGUUUUUAAUUUCAACUAAAAACAAACAA